rnacentral:lncRNA from 1 species
GUGCCAUCUAGGCUCACUGCAACCUCUGCUUGCCUGGUUCAAGCAAUUCCCCUGCCUCAGCCUCCCGUGUAGCUGGGACUACAGGCGCGUGAGGAUUUCCUAAUUUUUUAAGGUAGCAGAAGACAGCACCUGCUGUGAAUCCAGGUUCUACUGGGAAGUCCUAGCUCCUCACCUCUGGUACCUCUUUAUUCUUUCAGCCCUACAGACUGUACUGACACCAUAUAAUUGCUAAUUUCUGAGUUGGCUCAUCAUCCUCAAUUUUAAUCCAUCUGAUGUUUUUAUAACUAGCUCCCUGCAGUAGUUUUGUUUCACUCUAAUGCUUCCCUUAACGUGCUUAGCCAGAGUACUUUGGUUAUAAACCGGAGUACUUUGUCUUCAACAAGAAGGGACUGUCUCAGAGACCCAGGAAAAGGUCUAUGCCAGGCAGUAUGGGGCACAGACUUCUGAGGAAUUGUUAAGAUAAUAUUGACAACAUACCAUGGACUGAGUCAAGCUAUCCAGUAAUCUAGUGAAGAAGCUGAUGAGUUCAUGAGACUGCCGGUUCAAACUCAGCAUGAUUUUAUCGUCUUUCAAGAAGGAGAGAAUGUAAAUAAAUUAGCUAACUUUGGAAUCUUGCAUUCUCAUUUGUUUAGUAGUUAUUUAAAUUCAUUAAAUUGCUUCAUAUAAGUAACCAUUAUUCUUGACGGUAAAAUUAAGUUUUUCUGUGCCUGGCUUAUUUCACUUAGCAUAAUGUCUUCCUUGGUCAUCCAUGUUAUUACAAAUGGUAAGAUGUUUUUCUUUUGCGAGACUGAUCUUAUUUUCUCAAGAUGACUGACUGGAAACAUCAGAUGCCAGUUCUCAGAAAGAUCAAAGUUACAACUGAAUGGUCAUGAUGUGAACAGAAAGCUAAAGGAAGAGAGCCGGGACUGUUGCAGAGCCCACAGGAAAAAGCUGGGACACAGAAAAGGAAGGUAGCAAGAGUCUGGCAGAGAUUGACCUCCGAGGAAUUUGAAGUCCCACAGAGGGAAUGCAGCAGAGGCUUUCUCCACUGCAGACUGUCACGAAUGCACUUGAAGACAGCCUUUCCAGUGCUAUUCACAGAAACUGCACCCCCGUUGAAAGUGAGCUUGUACCCCACUGGCAUGCAUGAUGGGCAGGGCCCAAUCUCCCCCUCCGUACAUAGAGGAGCAGCAUCGCAGCAACAGAAGGCAGUCAAGCCAUGAAGCCUGGUCUGGACUGGAAGAAGAAGCAUUGUCCUGGGGUCAUUUCAGUCCUGGGGUCAUUUCAAAAUAUUCUUCUGCCAGAAUAUUUUCUCUGACCUCAGUAACACUGUGGCCAGAGUCAAAGGACACUGUCUAUAUGAACUGAAGGUCAUGAGCUCUGUGACAGGGGCACAACAGGGAAGCAAAUCACAUUCCUCCCUGCCCAGGACUAGAGACAGAUGUAACCCCCCAACUUCUUCCCCCAAGACCUCAGUACAUCCCAACACAACUCUCCCUGCCUGCCCCCAUCAGGAUGGGUUGCCUCCACUUAUCAAAGGGCUACCAAAUGUUACUCUUAAGCGCCACCUACUGGAAUGGAGACUGCUGCAUCACUGAAUAAAAAUCCCUGCUGUCCGAAGAGCACAGGGUUAGUGCAUGAGAUAAGCUUCCUGAGACCGCUGCAUUCCCAGUCACGCAGGGCAUAGUGUAUUGGCUCAUAUGCCCAACACAUUGCUAAGGCAAGCAGCAUUUGAGAAAACCACCACACAUGAUUCCAUAUCUUUGUUACUGUGAAUGUGCUGCAAUGAACAUGGGAAUGCAGAUAACGCAUCAAAACACUGGUUUCACUUCUUUUGGAUAUAUACCCAGCAAUGAGGUUGCUGGAUCAUAUUUUUAAUUUUCUGGGGAACCUCCAUGCUGUUUUUUUAUAACGACUUUACCCAUUUACAUUCCCACCAAUAGUGAACAAGUGUUUUCUUUUCUCCACGUCUCCACCAACACUUAUUAUCUUUUGCUUUUUUGAUAAAAUACACUCUAAUACGUAUGAGGUGAUAUCUCAUUGCGGUUUUAAUUUACAUUUCCCUGAUGGUUAGUGAUGUUGAGAAUUUUUUCAUAUCUGCAUUGGCCAUUUGUAUGUCUUCUUUUAAGAAAUAUCUAAGUCUUUUGUCCAUUUUUAAUUCUGUUAUUUAUUUUCUUGCUAUUGAUUUGUUUAAGUUCCUUAUAGAUUUUGGAUAUUAACCCCUACCAGAUGUAGCAAACUGAAUUCAAUGGCACAUUAAAAGGAUGGUUCACUAUGAUCAGGUGGGAUUCAAGAAUGGAUCACCAUAUGCAAAUCAAUAAAUGUGAUACACCCCAUUAACAGAAUGAAGAACAAAAACCAUAUGAUCAUCUCAAUAGAUGUAGAAAUGCAUUUGACAAAAUUCAACAUUUUUUAUGAUAAAAACUCUCAACAAAUUAGUUAUAGAAGCAAUGUACCUCAACACCAUAAAGGUCGUGUAUCACAAGCCCACAUAACAUAAUAUGCAAUGGUGAAAAGUUAAAGCUUUUCCUCUAAGAUCAGGCACAGUAUAAGCAUGCCCAAUCUUGCCGUUUCUAUUCAACAUAAUAAUGGAAAUCCUAGCCAAAGUGAUUAGGAAAGAGAAACAAUAAAAAACAUCCAACUCAUAGAUAAGGGAGUUAAAUUGUUUCUGUUUACAGA